rnacentral:rRNA from 1 species
UACGUAGGUGGCAAGCGUUAUCCGGAAUUACUGGGCGUAAAGCGUGCGCAGGCGGUUUUGUAAGCCAGAUGUGAAAGCCCCGGGCUUAACCUGGGAAUGGCAUUUGGGACUGCAAGGCUUGAGUGCGGCAGAGGAGACUGGAAUUCCUGGUGUAGCAGUGAAAUGCGUAGAUAUCGGGAGGAACACCAGUGGCGAAGGCGGCUUCCUGGCCUGUUCUUGACGCUGAGGCGCGAAAGCUAGGGGAGCAAACAGG